CUAAGUGUGUGUGUCCAUGACUAGAAAAUAAGACUGUAAAGCAACGCAGUCGGACAGUACACGCCCCAUUCUCAGAGUUGGAGCUACAGCUGCAGUGUUCCCAACAUCACCCAGUGAUGAUUUCGUAGUGCGGACCGGACUGCACCUGCUGCCACGCAUAAUACGCACUUCACAGAAAAGCAAGAGGACGCAUGAAGCUAUCCGCGGCUCCUUCAUUUGAUGAAUGACACAGUUAACGCAAACUCCUCGCGCACAUGUGAAAACUGAGAAAUGUGCGGACUGUUAUCAGCAACAAAGUAAGUGUGUACAAUGAUACCUUAGGCUAUUAGAAAUGUGUGUGCAUUUUCAGGGGGAAAAAGAUCGGGUCUCUUGUUGCAAAGAGAAGAUAUUUUGAUGAUGUGCCACAUGCAAUGUUAUUUCACUCAACGAACCCUUGCCAACGUCCGCAUUCCGGGCUCUGUUGCGCAGAUUAAAAUCCAGUGUUGUGGGUGAACGUGGGGAAAUAUUAAUUUUUAUCUUUGCGUUUUAAUGCUGCGUGUGGACCAUGUCUUAUUUAAAACCUCUAAGCUGAGCAAUUCUGUUAAAGAACAACAUCACGCCCCCUGUAAAGUGCGCAGUUGCCGAAGGAUGUCACAGCAAGCGGGUUAACUGCGUAUAUACAACUGACCUAACCCUUUAAUAUUGACGACCAACUGAAUAUACUGAUGUUUAAAGCGUGCUGAAACGAGAGAGGGGUCACUUGAGAUCUAAAGCAGGAAUGCCUCGCGCAGACGCGCACUUUUAGAAGUUACGCUGUUAUUUCAGUUCAAUCGUCACCAUCAUCAUCAUCAUCAGUACACAAGAUAAAGCGGAACAGGCUCUUCGGCGACAUGAAGCAAAACUUCGCAGAUAUGAAGAGCCGGCUCGAUACCUCUCAUAAACAACACCUGCUUGUCAACGUGGCUGAAUGGACUGUGAGAGCGAGAGAGGAGAGAGAGAGAGAGAGAGGGAGCUGGAGUGCGACUGUAUUGGUGGUCCUGGGACAGGUGCUUUCUGGGUCACGGGGCGGUUGGAGCUUUGGAGGGAUGACUGUAUGUCUUUAAAUGCUGUAAGACCUGCUAAAGAAGCUAUCUGUGUGAACGAACGCUGCCUAGGCUGCGUUAUCCAAGUUAAGGUAAGAUGUAAUCCAAAAAUGACAGGUAUGGCUGUUGGAAACUGCAACGUGUGUUUGUGGAUGUACCAAUGGUUAUGUGAGUGUGGGAGAAAUAAGUCUGAGAUUAGCUCUGUCCCAAAACCUGGUGAGCUACAUACACAAACGAUUUCAAAGGUAGCACCCUCAUAGAAAUAAUUUGAAUGUUUUACAUGAACAUCAACUCAACUUGCUAGUCAGCAUAGCACUAAAUGUGAAGCACAAAAAGGUGAAAUUCCAAGAGUUUGACGUUAGCAUGUUGCUAAGCUAACGGCAUAUAAAAAUACAGGUAAACAAUCCAUUUUAACUUAAAUUUUUAUACUUUUUAGUAUUGAAUGAAGUCUGUUUUACUCAUCCCACCAUCUUGGAUUUUUUGGGGGGAUCGAAUGAGCUGAAAAACUGAGAUUGCGUUAUUCUUCUUGUGAUGCUUCAUUUGAUUUUUGGCAAAAUCUCUCAAGUUGUGACCACGACUAUGAUACCCUGUUUAGACAGGCAGCUCAGUAGGCUCUGGAAAUAUUGUGUUGGACAGAUAAGGAACAAAUUGUGUGUAUACGUAUGUGUGGGUGAGAAAGCGAGAGAGAGAGAGACGGACAGAAACUGAGAGCUGAAAGUACGUCAAAAGGAAGGUAACUCAAUCUGGGCAGCUGUUAGCCAUUCCACUGCAGUGCCACGUCUCAGUGCAUUGACGUAGAGAGAAUACCUGCUCCGGUUGUAUGCUUUUGUGUGUGACGGCAGAAACGGUGGAAGUUUAACAGCGAGUCAGGCCUUACGUGAAGGUGAAUAAAGCUGUAAAAUGGAGAGAGAAAAUAAGAUGUCAACGUAAGAUCAAGCUGUAACUCUGACGUACGUGCCAAUGUGUCACGCCUCUUCUCCCAUGUGGUCCUGGGCAAACAGAGGUGAAUGUGUGUGCACUUCCCUGUGCAGACAAAUUAUGCCCUCGGGAAGAUUGUAAAAAACAAGUUUUGUGAUGUGGAGUUGAGUAACUUUGGAGGAACUUAGAAUAAUUGGCUUUUCCUACUCGAGCUCUGAGAAAAUGACAAGACAUUAUUACAUAACUGCUUUAGUGGCCAAUGGUGAGGCAGAGCAAACACAGGAAAAAACCACACACACACGUGGUUUUUAUGUGUGUUUCUUCUGUGGUAUGCCUCCGGGCUUUGGCUUUGUAUGCCAGGUAAUCCUCCUGAAAUAGCUGGAUUACAGUGCAUUUAAAGGAAAAAUGCAUCAACAAAGUAUCUGAACUUUGCUAUUUUCAUCUAUGUUUAUGAAAAUGUGCAUGAUUUUUGUGGAAAAAAAACGUUUUCUUAAUACAUUUUAUUCAU